rnacentral:rRNA from 1 species
GACGAACGCUGGCGGCGUGCUUAACACAUGCAAGUCGAACGGAAAGGCCCUGCUUUUGUGGGGUGCUCGAGUGGCGAACGGGUGAGUAACACGUGAGUAACCUGCCCUUGACUUUGGGAUAACUUCAGGAAACUGGUGCUAAUACCGGAUAGGAUCUCCUGCUGCAUUGUGGUGGUUGGAAAGUUUCGGCGGUUGGGGAUGGACUCGCGGCUUAUCAGCUUGUUGGUGGGGUAGUGGCUUACCAAGGCUUUGACGGGUAGCCGGCCUGAGAGGGUGACCGGCAACAUUGGGAGUGAGAGAGGGCACAGACUGCAACGGGAGGCAGCAGUGGGGAAUAUUGCACAAUGGGAGGAAGCGUGAUGGAGCAACGCCGCGGGCGGGAUGACGGGCUUCGGGUUGUAAAACGAUGUGGACUGUGAAGAAGAGGGAGUGACGGUAAUGGGUAAAGAAGCACCGGCUAACUACGUG